AUGCACUGCACCAUCAGGGGGUUCAGGCUGUGUGCUCUCAGUGCCAUGUGUCUGGGGGAUGUUGGCAUCGCCUCCUCGAUCUUCUCCAUGGCACCCAAUGUCACAGAGCCACGGGGGCACCCCAGCACAGCGCACCCCAACCCCCCCGAGCAGCGCCAGGAGCAGAGGGAGAGGAAAAAGGAGGCGACAGCAGCGAGGGGAAUAUUUAACAUUUAUUUUCAGCAGCAGAGUUGUUUUCCAGAACUGGAGACAAGCCGUGCGGAGAGCUGCGCCUCCCCCAGCUCCCUCCACUUCACCGGGGCUCUCUGCUUUGUUCCCUCGCCGGGGACUUGGCCAGGAGACACUCGGCCUGAGCCAAGGGACAGGGGCAGAGCGGGGGCCGAGCUGCUGGCAGCGGGGCGCUGCAGGACGGGGACACCGGGAAAUGGAGGCAGGGCUUUGCUGCGCCAUGCGGUGCUGUGCUCGGUGCUGUGCCCCUGGGCAAGCACAGAGUGCUGCCUCCCAGGCAGCUCUGCCUCCCCAGCAGCACGUGGGCUGCUUCAGUUUUUGGGAAGCAGCCUUCCCACGGGGAUGCUCCUGCCCAAUGUUGGGUUGGGAGGAGGGGGAAGGCAGCCUGCGGAGAGGGCAGCGGCACAGCCCCUGUCAAAUGUCAUGCAGAGCUAUUUUAAGAUUUUAUCUUGCUGCCCUCUGACAAAAAUGUGCUUUGGAGUUGAGCUUAUCAUCCGUGUGGCUGGCACACGGGGGCUGGUGAAUUUAUCCCAGGGAGAUGGGGAGAGGUGGAGCAGAGCCGGCACCGCUGCAGGAUUUGGUGCUGCUGCUGCCUCCCGGGGCCCUGCCAGGGACUGGGCACAAACCAAAGGCACAGGGAAAGGGCAGGUCCCUGAGCCAAAACGCCAGCUGGGCCCUACAGGAGGGGAGCACGAACCCUUGGUCUCAGCACCCUGCCACUGCCCAGCUGCACUGCUGGUCACACACAGCCCUCUCUGCACUCCUGCUUUUCUGAAGUUAAUACAAAUGUUUGCAAACUGUUAA
rnacentral:lncRNA from 1 species